GAUGAACGCUGGCGGCGUGCCUAAUACAUGCAAGUCGAGCGAACAGACGAGGAGCUUGCUCCUCUGACGUUAGCGGCGGACGGGUGAGUAAUACGUGGAUAACCUACCUAUAAGACUGGGAUAACUUCGGGAAACCGGAGCUAAUACCGGAUAAUAUAUUGAACCGCAUGGUUCAAUAGUGAAAGACGGUUUUGCUGUCACUUAUAGAUGGAUCCGCGCCGCAUUAGCUAGUUGGUAAGGUAACGGCUUACCAAGGCGACGAUGCGUAGCCGACCUGAGAGGGUGAUCGGCCACACUGGAACUGAGACACGGUCCAGACUCCUACGGGAGGCAGCAGUAGGGAAUCUUCCGCAAAGGGCGAAAGCCUGACGGAGCAACGCCGCGUGAGUGAUGAAGGUCUUCGGAUCGUAAAACUCUGUUAUUAGGGAAGAACAAAUGUGUAAGUAACUAUGCACGUCUUGACGGUACCUAAUCAGAAAGCCACGGCUAACUACGUG
rnacentral:rRNA from 1 species